AGCGGGAUGGGGCAGUCAGGAGUGCCCGUCGGGCUCAUAGGACUUUCCUGGGAUACCCGGAGAAAAACAUGUAAAUGUUUUUCGGGUAAAGGUCGGAAGUUCAAAUCUUCCUCCCGCUA
rnacentral:tRNA from 1 species